rnacentral:rRNA from 1 species
UUAAGUUGGGCACUCUAAGGAGACUGCCGGUGACAAACCGGAGGAAGGUGGGGAUGACGUCAAGUCAUCAUGCCCCUUACACUCUGGGCUACACACGUGCUACAUUGGGCGAGACAAUGAGAUGCAAACCUGCGAGGGUAAGCUAAUCUAUAAACUCGUUCUAAGUUCGGAUUGUAGGCUGCAACUCGCCUACAUGAAGGUGGAAUCGCUAGUAAUCGCUGGUCAGCUACACAGCGGUGAAUCCGUUCCCGGGCCUUGUACACACCCCCCGUCACACCAUGGGAGCGGGUU